GGGCCCGUCCCGCACACACGUGCCCGGCCAAGUGCCAAGAUCACAGUCCGAAGGGAGUCGCCCAUGAAGAUUUGUUCAUGCAGCUAAACAAACUUUCAUGGAUAAAGUUCAAAACAGAAAAGAAAGGAUUUUCAAGCAUGGAACAGGCAGCCCAUGGAAGUGGUAAUGAAUACUGUGUAUCCAGACAGCAAUAAACCUUCAGCUGCAGACCACUGACAGAAAUCUAUAGAGCACCAGUUUGGGAAAUCUCAGCUUUAAACUCUAAAUGAUUCAACAUUUGUUCCCUCUGAUGACACCGCGAAUCUGGGAAUGAAGAACUUCUUAGAGCUGAUUGGAAAUGGCAUUGCGGAGCUGAAACUUAACUGGAGGAAAUAUAUCUCCUGAAGAAGAAAAUAUAAUGCACUGUAAGGAUCUGUCUUCUGGUGAAAAAUCCAAGCUUAGAGAAAACUUGUCCACUUUCUUAGGAAGAAUGGGUUGGACAAUUUUCUUCAGUUCCAAAGGAUAUCUGAAUGCCAUGCUGAGCUUAAUCUCUGCAGCAUGCUCUGUGCUUCUCAUCUCUUCCUGAUGCACUGCAUGGUUAUUCUGAAGGGGAAGAUAAAGAAACUGGCCACCAAGAUGGUAAUCACUAGUGGAAAUGAAGAAGAUAAAGGCAGUCAAGAAAAGGAAAGCAAAGAAGAAACCAUCUUGGCAAUGCUUGGAAUUAUUGGGACAAUUCUGAACCUCAUUGUGAUCAUUUUUGUGUAUAUUUAUACAACGUUGUAAACUAGAAGGCAUGCAAAUAGACCAGAUAAAACGGCCAUUAAGAGUGACAACAAACAUUGCCGACUAUUGACAAGUUCUUUAAUCAGAAUUGACUCUGUAUUAUAUUAACACAUCAUAAAAGCACUGCCUGAAGGCAGCGAAGACUGAAGCACAAUUAAUUUAACAAGACUUUUUCACACAGUAAUAAGCUUAACUCUUCUCUCCUGCCCUCUCCCUUUCGGUUUGGUUUUCAGUUUGGGGGAGAAUGACUGCAGUUAUGUAAGUUGUAGCUUUGAAGAAAUCCACCAGGGAUAUGUUGUUUUAACACAACAAAAAGAAAAAAAAAGGAAAAGAAAAAAAAAAGGGAAAAAAGGAAAAGAAACUGUACACUAUAUAUAAUUAGAAAUGUAUGCUGUAUACCCGCAAAGAUUGAACUCAAAGAUAGCUUCAUAGCACAGAUCACGUGUCUGUUAGGUCAAAUGGUUUUUUCUCUUGGUUUUUGCUUUUACUUACAUUGAAUCUGACAAGCUUUUUAUUUAGAAUGAACAUAUGGUGCAAUCAUGAAAAAAACAAUUCCAUUGAGCAAGGUCUGCCUAAACCUGAUAAAAUGUUGGGAGAAAUACAUUACAUGGUUAUUUUUCCUUUCUCAUUUGCUUAACAUCUGUGUCUGUUCAUACCAAUGUUUAUAAAUAUAUAUUUUUAAUAAAUGUGCUAUAUUUUUAGCAUGAACCAAAUAUUUGGAGACACUUGUAUUCAUGCAGCUAAAUUUUGUUUGAUGAAGUGCCCCUUUUGACAAUGGAUGUUAUUUUUCUCAGCAAUUAUACAGCAGUCUUGUUUGCAGCCCUCUCACUGAGGUCUGAAGCAAGCUCACAUCAUGCUCACAUGCAUGACUUGAAGUUGGAAUGUCAGCUGAAAAGCAUUGCUGCUUAAUAUGGGAAAUAGCAAAACAUUUUAAGGUGACCUUUGGAGACUGGUUGCAGAAAGAAGGCUCUAUUUAUAGUUAAAAAAUGAAAAAGCAAAUGAAAGCAAUACUGAAGCAUCUCACAAAAUAUUGCAAAAUUCAUAGAAUUUAUGGCUUUCAGAAUCUGGUCACGCUCUCUAAGUACUUGUGCUGAGAGAAGUGAGCAGAGUUUUAUACAGUUGGAAAGGGAAAUUUAUAGAGCCUAUAGCAAGGGGCUUGAGUGAAAUCCAGACUGUAAAUAUGGGGUGUAUUUUAAAUGUGAGGAUCAUUAACCCUUUAUGCUUCUCUGAUAUGUGCUUUAACUGAGUUGGUGCAGUGAAAUUCUCUGACUUGUGUUUUUGACAGGAAUGUACAAUGAUGAUGAUGACCAUUUUUCUUCAGAGUUCAGUACCUAUAAAUAUAUGAAGCAUUAAAAAAAUGAGACCUCAA